CACACUCAUUGCGGCUGCAAUUCUGGUCACAUUCUUGAAGUUUCAACCAGAACAGUACAUAUCAUUCUCAAAACGAUUUUUUGAACUUUAUCACCAGUACUUUGAUGAGCGUGAAGUGAAAAGAUGCUUCUGAUGGUCAUUUCAUACCAGAAGAGGUUUUUGCUCGUCCCAGAAAACCAAGACUGGUAAGAGACAUACCGGAUGGUAGAAGAAGGAAAGGAAAGGAACUAAUGUACCCGGAGUUUUCUGUUGGUGACACGAGUGAGAAGUGGGAAAAGUGGGAAGGAUAUGACAUCGGUUACGUGUGUGAGAAGUUUACAGAAUUCGAUGAUGAUUGGCUGGAAGUCUGGAACCCCCUGGAUUACCCCCUGAUUCCCCCUCUUCCCCUGAUUCCCCUUGAAUAGUUUCAUGGAACCACGAGCUCAUCCUGUUAUAAACUGUGGUGCAUACUAGAAUCUGAGGCAAAGUAAGUACCUAAUCUAUGCUCAAAAGAAAAAGUAAGUACCUAAUCUGAAUAGCCACUACAACAGUAGAUCAGUUGCUGCAUGAUAUUGUUAAUGAUUGUUUGAUGAUGCAAUUGCAUGUGAUUACGAGAUAUGCUUUAAAGACAUUAGUAUAUAGCGUUAUUGAUUAGGAACCGUAGUUGGAAUAUGUGAUCGAGUGUGCUUUUAUGAU